CUUUUUUGCCCUCAUUUUUUUGCACAUGGAGUUGUCAGCUUAGAAACUCAGUGGUUUCUCUCUCCUUUGGCUUUCUCUCUCCUCUCGAAUCAUCUGUAUACCUCCUUUUUCUCCUUCCUUCCUUCGCGAGAUCGCCGUCAAUCUAUCAAAAAGGGUUAGAGAAACGCUCAAAACCCUCCUUUCUAAACGCGCACCACCACAACACACCACUGCACAUCCAUUCUGUAUUGAACGAACUGACGUCGAUUUGAUUGGUCAGCUUAUGUAGUGCAAGCCUCUUUCCGAACAAGAGAUUUUUGUAAUUUUCAAGAGUUCGGGGUUUUCGUCUUCAAGCUCCCUUCCUAUGGAUUCGAAGUCGCCGUUUUUUGGGGUUUCCUAUGGAUUUAAUAGGGCCAGCCUUUAAUUUCAUUUCCAUUUUCUUAAUUUUUUAUCUGACUUUUGAUUUUAAUCUUUCGUUCUUUUCAUCGUUUUAUUUUUCAGGACGAUGAGCUACGGAAACAGUUCGAGGCUACACAAAAUGACUGUUCUGGAAUUAGAGGUACCAACCCUGGAAUAUCUACCUUUUCUCCGAUAUGUGCUGCUAUUCUGCUAAGGUAU